rnacentral:rRNA from 1 species
GAUGAACGCUGGCGGCGUGCCUAAUACAUGCAAGUCGAGCGAACGGACGAGAAGCUUGCUUCUCUGAUGUUAGCGGCGGACGGGUGAGUAACACGUGGAUAACCUACCUAUAAGACUGGGAUAACUUCGGGAAACCGGAGCUAAUACCGGAUAAUAUUUUGAACCGCAUGGUUCAAAAGUGAAAGACGGUCUUGCUGUCACUUAUAGAUGGAUCCGCGCUGCAUUAGCUAGUUGGUAAGGUAACGGCUUACCAAGGCAACGAUUCAUAGCCGACCUGAGAGGGUGAUCGGCCACACUGGAACUGAGACACGGUCCAGACUCCUACGGGAGGCAGCAGUAGGGAAUCUUCCGCAAUGGGCGAAAGCCUGACGGAGCAACGCCGCGUGAGUGAAGAAGGUCUUCGGAUCGUAAAACUCUGUUAUUAGGGAAGAACAGAUGUGUAAGUAACUGUGCACAUCUUGACGGUACCUAAUCAGAAAGCCACGGCUAACUACGUG